rnacentral:rRNA from 1 species
UACGUAGGGUGCAAGCGUUGUCCGGAAUUAUUGGGCGUAAAGAGCUUGUAGGCGGUUUGUCGCGUCUGCUGUGAAAUUUCGGGGCUCAACCCCGAACUUGCAGUGGGUACGGGCAGACUAGAGUGCGGUAGGGGAGAUUGGAAUUCCUGGUGUAGCGGUGGAAUGCGCAGAUAUCAGGAGGAACACCGGUGGCGAAGGCGGGUCUCUGGGCAACAACUGACGCUGAGGAGCGAAAGCGUGGGGAGCGAACAGG